GCGGCGGACGGGUGAGUAACGCGUGGGUAACCUGCCUUACACUGGGGGAGUAACAGUUAGAAAUGACUGCUAAUACCGCAUAAGCGCACAGGGCCGCAUGGUCUGGUGUGAAAAACUCCGGUGGUGUAAGAUGGACCCGCGUCUGAUUAGGUAGUUGGUGGGGUAACGGCCCACCAAGCCGACGAUCAGUAGCCGACCUGAGAGGGUGACCGGCCACAUUGGGACUGAGACACGGCCCAAACUCCUACGGGAGGCAGCAUG
rnacentral:rRNA from 1 species